UACGUAGGGUGCAAGCGUUGUCCGGAAUUAUUGGGCGUAAAGAGCUCGUAGGCGGUCUGUUGCGUCGGCUGUGAAAACCUGGGGCUCAACCCCGGGCCUGCAGCCGAUACGGGCAAACUAGAAUUCGGUAGGGGAGACUGGAAUUCCUGGUGUAGCGGUGAAAUGCGCAGAUAUCAGGAGGAACACCGGUGGCGAAGGCGGGUCUCUGGGCCGAUAUUGACGCUGAGGAGCGAAAGCGUGGGGAGCGAACAGG
rnacentral:rRNA from 1 species